ACCCGCUGAACUUAAGCAUAUCAAUAAGCGGAGGAAAAGAAACCAACAGGGAUUGCCCUAGUAACGGCGAGUGAAGCGGCAACAGCUCAAAUUUGAAAUCUGGCGUCUUUGGCGUCCGAGUUGUAAUUUGCAGAGGGCGCUUUGGCAUUGGCAGCGGUCCAAGUUCCUUGGAACAGGACGUCACAGAGGGUGAGAAUCCCGUACGUGGUCGCUAGCCUUUACCGUGUAAAGCCCCUUCGACGAGUCGAGUUGUUUGGGAAUGCAGCUCUAAAUGGGAGGUAAAUUUCUUCUAAAGCUAAAUACUGGCCAGAGACCGAUAGCGCACAAGUAGAGUGAUCGAAAGAUGAAAAGCACUUUGGAAAGAGAGUUAAAAAGCACGUGAAAUUGUUGAAAGGGAAGCGCUUGCAGCCAGGCUUGCCUGUAGUUGCUCAUCCGGGUUUUUACCCGGUGCACUCUUCUAUAGGCAGGCCAGCAUCAGUUUGGGCGGUUGGAUAAAGGUCUCUGUCAUGUACCUCUCUUCGGGGAGAACUUAUAGGGGAGACGACAUGCAACCAGCCCGGACUGAGGUCCGCGCAUCUGCUAGGAUGCUGGCGUAAUGGCUGU
rnacentral:rRNA from 1 species